rnacentral:rRNA from 1 species
UGGAAGUAAAAGUCGUAACAAGGUCUCCGUUGGUGAACCAGCGGAGGGAUCAUUACCGAGUUUACAACUCCCAAACCCCUGUGAACAUACCACUUGUUGCCUCGGCGGAUCAGCCCGCUCCCGGUAAAACGGGACGGCCCGCCAGAGGACCCCUAAACUCUGUUUCUAUAUGUAACUUCUGAGUAAAACCAUAAAUAAAUCAAAACUUUCAACAACGGAUCUCUUGGUUCUGGCAUCGAUGAAGAACGCAGCAAAAUGCGAUAAGUAAUGUGAAUUGCAGAAUUCAGUGAAUCAUCGAAUCUUUGAACGCACAUUGCGCCCGCCAGUAUUCUGGCGGGCAUGCCUGUUCGAGCGUCAUUUCAACCCUCAAGCACAGCUUGGUGUUGGGACUCGCGUUAAUUCGCGUUCCUCAAAUUGAUUGGCGGUCACGUCGAGCUUCCAUAGCGUAGUAGUAAAACCCUCGUUACUGGUAAUCGUCGCGGCCACGCCGUUAAACCCCAACUUCUGAAUGUUGACCUCGGAUCAGGUAGGAAACCAGGUUACCC